GUUGAGAUGGCCGAGUUAGUCUAAGGCGCCAGAUUAAGGGCGUGAGUUCAAAUCCCACGCUCAACA
rnacentral:tRNA from 1 species